CGUACUGGUGUUACUGGUUCCUACCUUCUGACGAACCAUCAUGUCAUUCAUUUGGUGUGGCGGGGAAUCAGGACUGUUACUUUGAAAAAAUUAGAGUGUUUAAAGCAGGCUCGCGCUUGAAUACAUUAGCAUGGAGUAAUGAAAUAGGACGUUGAUCCUAUUUUGUUGGUUUCUAGGAUUGACGUAAUGAUUAAUAGGGAUAGUUGGGGGCAUUAGUAUUCAAUUGUCAGAGGUGAAAUUCUUGGAUUUAUUGAAGACUAACUACUGCGAAAGCAUUUGCCAAGGAUGUUUUCAUUAAUCAAGAACGAAAGUUAGGGGAUCGAAGACGAUCAGAUACCGUCGUAGUCUUAACCAUAAACUAUGCCGACUAGGGAUCGGAUGAUGUUAUUUUUAAUGACUCAUUCGGCGCCUUACG
rnacentral:rRNA from 1 species